rnacentral:rRNA from 1 species
AUUGAACGCUGGCGGCAGGCCUAACACAUGCAAGUCGAACGGUAACAGGAAGCAGCUUGCUGCUUCGCUGACGAGUGGCGGACGGGUGAGUAAUGUCUGGGAAGCUGCCUGAUGGAGGGGGAUAACUACUGGAAACGGUAGCUAAUACCGCAUAAUGUCGCAAGACCAAAGAGGGGACCUUCGGGCCUCUUGCCAUCGGAUGUGCCCAGAUGGGAUUAGCUUGUUGGUGGGGUAACGGCUCACCAAGGCGACGAUCCCUAGCUGGUCUGAGAGGAUGACCAGCCACACUGGAACUGAGACACGGUCCAGACUCCUACGGGAGGCAGCAGUGGGGAAUAUUGCACAAUGGGCGCAAGCCUGAUGCAGCCAUGCCGCGUGUAUGAAGAAGGCCUCGGUUGUAAGUAC